UGGGUAUGCUGAGACCUUAGCGUCAUGUGU
rnacentral:piRNA from 1 species